CUAGCUUUGUUGGGGUGUGGGGUAGCUCCUCCCAGCCGCCGCCCCUGACCUUGGUCGGACAUGGAGUAGCUCCUCCCAGCCGCACUUGUGCGCCAUCGCAGCCACCCACAACGGCUCAAUCCAAGAGAUAGGCUCUUCUCUAUCUACCCUGCGUACUAUACCAAUAAUAACUGGUUUUCUGAGAGUUUUGAUGAUCUGAUAGACCUGCACAGUGCCUCAGCAUCCAGAUGUCAGGAAUUUCUGUGGUCUAUGAUGAUGAUGUCAUGGUGUUUGUCCAGGAAACAGGCGAGGGCAGUCUGAGCCUCCGUGGUAACUGUACACAUAAACCCUGCUUUUUCACACGUCCUGAAGAAUCCAUUACACUGGUUAUCUUCUUUGAUAAAUACUAAAAGUACCUGCAGUAGAUCUGGAUGAAAUCUCAUGGGGCCAAACUGCACAUCAGCUACUGCUACUUUGUUGCUGUUUCUGCUGCUGCCUCUGGAGAGGCUCAACUCUGUGCAAGGUGGGGAGUCCUUAUAAAGUAAUCACACUGUGAUGUGACCCAGUGAAGCCAAAGAACCACAGAGUUCCCUGGCUAAUCAGCUCGGAGGGGUGCCUGACUGUCAGAACACACGGGGGCCACCUGGCACCUCUGCCCACCUGGUGGUCCCAGCACCUGGAGACAGUAGCAGCCAGCCCCCUCCCCCAACCCCCUCAGUGCUGCUGGGCCAAAAGAAGCUUGCCGACACAUGCUCUCUAUGUAAGUAUAAUGAUGUACAGUCACCCCACGUGCCCUCAAGCAUCAUCUUGCAGGUGGACGCCUGUUGAGGCCCCACGAGGGCUCAAGGACUAAGGGGUGAGAGCUAGGAGGAAGAGCACUGGACUGGGAAUCAGAAGACCUGGGUUCUAGGUCUAGUUCCUCCAUGAGCAGCUGUGAGACCUUGGGUCUAUCCCCUGGCUGGGUCUCAGUCUGCCAGUCUGCAGUGCAAAGGGGCUGGAUCAGACCACCUCCUGGGGCCCUUCCCUAGCUCAUCAUGUAAACAGCUCCUGUUUGCUCAAGACAGACACCUGCAGUGGUCUUACCUCACCAUCAGAGGGAGACGAGGCUGGUGGAGACCAGAAGGCAUCCACUGGGGUCCCCAAACCCCUUCUGGCUCAGCAAGGUCAGAACUAGCUCCAUCGUUAAUCGAAGGUGCCAUGUGCCUUUGCCACUGUGUCGAUAUUGCACUGAUUGUGUUGAGUGUGCAGCAGAUGCAUCAGACGGGUCUCAGGGCCAGUUGAACGAAGCAGUGCUGGUCGUCGUGGUUGUUACAGGGGACUGGGAAGGGAGAUGGGGAGUGGAGGGGGAAAAAGCCAGUUUCCCUUAGGAAUGCCCUAGAUGAAGCAGUAAACGUGAAUUUCACUCCACUCCUGAUAGACUUUCUAUGAUAUUCUUUGGGCUGCUGAGGGAGGUACCCAGAAAGCACUCGGGCUGUCCAUUGGGGCGAGGUGGGGUGUCGGGAAGGAGCCCAUGGGGGGAGGGGGUUGAGUCGGGGGCUGCAGCAACCGCUUUAAACACAGAACAGUAUCUUCAUUCGGAAGAACCAUCUGUACUCCAAUUGUGUAAACGCUGGUAUUUGGUAGCCAUUUUUUCAAUCAUCAGAGAGCCGGUCACUUCUAGGAGAACAAUUCUUAGUGUUUUUUGGCCAAAAUUGGAUUUUUGACAAAAUCGGAUCUUUCCAGGUGGAAACAGAUUUUGGAUAACUUGAAUCUGUUGUUGUGAUCUUGACAGUUGCCCAGAAUUUUAAAACUUUUGUAAUAAGAUGAAUAUGAACACAUGUAAUUUCUUUUACAGUGAGAUGCGUCAAACUUGAUAAGACCCGUGCAAAACUUUUCCAAAGAAGUUAUGUGUGAUGUUUCGAAAAUCUUGCAUGCAUGAAGGAAAUCUCGCAUGCGUGAAAGAAACCAUCCAAAGGUUAAGAUAAACGGAUGUAUUUGGAUGUAACAGAGUAGAAGAAGUUCAUGAACACAGCAGACUCCACAUUACAACUAAGCUUGAAGAAACCGCCACACAUUGGGUUUUGGGGUAGCACCAAAGAAGACUACACACAGUUAUUUUGAAAGCUAUUAAAAUGCAUCUCCCUUCUCCAACCACGUGUCUGUGGACAGCUGUAAGUUCAAGACGCACUUCAACCCAAACAACAUAAUCACUGCAGACUGAAUGCAGAAGCAGGUGGAAGGAUUCAGUUGUCUUCUGUAAAUGAAGACAUUUAAAAGAUUUGCAGAUGUAAAACAGUGGUUCUCAAUCAGGAUGAGACUGUCCCCUGCCCCACUCCAGGGGACAUUAGUUGUCAUAGCUGAGAGGCAGUGGUGGGUGGCCCUAGCUGCCCCUAACACCUACUGGGCAUGAACACUAGGGAUUUUGCUCAAAGUUCUACAAGUAGGCACAGAAAGCUCCCUCUGCCCCUCCCCACCCCAACACACAUCACCAAGAAUAUCCUGGGCCAAGAUUUCAUUAUUGCCACGGUUUAGAAACCCUGAUAUAAAAUAACACUACCUCCCCCUUUGUUUGUUUGUUUCAAAAAUACUCGUGUUGAGUGUGUAACGGAUUUAUUAUUGUUAUGUUUAAGGUAGUGUAUAUAUAAAUAUUUUUAAAGUUCAGCUUUCCUUCAUAACACCGGAACCAUCAGUAGACAUAUUCCACAUAAACAAAAUCUCUUUGGCGUCCUUAGUGACUUUUGGGAUUACAAAGGUGUCCUGAGACCAAAAACGUCAGAGGACUCCCCAGACAGGCAGGAGAAGGGUAUAGAUGACGAAAGGAAAGUUGCUGAGUGGGUCUACCCACUGGCCAGCUUAAAAAGAAGAGCCCUUCUUCGUGGUAGAUGUGCCCCCAAGCAUACGUCAUUUCUUCUCGAGGCCAGCUGAGGGGGCGAGUGCCAGAGUGGGGUGAGAGUAGCAGCAGCAGAACGUGUCUGGGCUUGUGGUCACCAAGGCGGACACGACCAGGACUGACAUGCACUGUUCCCAAAAACUUACUGUCUAGAAGGGAAGAGAGACACAAUAGUUUCGACUGUAAUUAACAUACGGAUGGGAAGCAGGGAAAAUACAUGCACAGGUGUCAUAAGAUCAGUGGGCAAGAGUCCAAGGUUAGGGGUUGGCGGGGGGUGGGGGUUGAAGGGUGGAGGGGGUUGAAGGGUGGAGAUGAAGGAGAUAGGGACGGCUCCCCAGAGAAAGUGCUGUCUCAGUUGAGUCUUGAAGGAUGAGUAGGAGUUUGGUCUCAGGGCUUGGGAGGAGCCCUAUGGAGGAGACGGGGUCCCAGGCACAGGGAACAGCGUUUAAGUGAAGGUUCAGAAGCACCAAACGGCCCGGGGGAUUUGGAGAAGGUACGAAAGGGUGUAGAGAAAACAAACACUAUGCUAGAUAUGCCCCCUCCAAACAAAAUGCAAUGCGUCCAAUAAAACUAAUGGAUUUUCAAAUCAAGAAAGAACCAGGAAAAUAAUAAAGGAAAGAAUAGCUCUGAUAAUAUGUGAUAUCUGUUUUUAGAAGAGAACAACAUUCCAGUGUUCUGAUACCAGCUACCCAUUUGGGAAAACACAAGUGAGACCUUGCUCUCUUGUCCAGACACAGGGUAAGAUGCUCCGUGACUCCUUCACCACCACCCCCCACCCCCAAGCCCCACAUGCCCAUCUGUGUCUUUACCCUCUUUCCAUCUUGGGUCCACCAGGGCUUUCCAGAACAUUUGCUGUGGGUCAGCAGAUCUUGCCAAGAAAGGGCAGGGGAAGCUCAUUAGCACAGAUGUCCCGGACCUGACUCCCCAUCGUUCAGAAAAGGGUCCCCAUGGCUCAUUCCAUCAAAGACAGUCACACUUGCUUCUCCCACCAAAGAAGACGAUCGAGGUGGUUGUGGGUUGAUUUUGGAAGUAGUAUGUCAACAGUAUCCAGCACACUGGACCAAAUAAAAGAGGAGCGGGGGGAGAAGAGCCCAUCUCUGCUCACCAACAGCCCCCAACAGAGGCUUCAGCUGCUGGGCAACACACGCUGUGCUUGCCCCAGGCCCAGGGGAGAGCCUGCCGUUCCCAACAGUCACUGCUGGCUGCACAAGAAGUCCGUCUGACAUGCAUCCGUGACUCUAUUUCCAGCACAAGUCUGACGGGUCUCCCUUAAAUUAAAGAAGCCUAGCUGGUCUCCAGCCUGGGGUCUCAGCCCCCCAGAACCCCUCAGAGGGCUGCCUGCACAGGCUGGUAUGGGUGACCCACAAGAGUUCAACCAAGAUGUUUUCCCAGAACAGCGGACAGCCGAGACCGUGCGGCCAGAGUGAGGUAAAGAUAACUCCGUGUGGUCCAUGGAGAAACCCAGAGAGGAAAGGAGCAGACACGUGAACACCAAGUAAGAGGCUGUGGGCCAUGGCGCUCGGGGCGGGAAACCGGGGUGGGAGACAGACACAGUGCCAGUUUGGGAAAUACCUUAGAGGCAGUCUCGAUGAGACUUUAUGGUAGAUUGCAUGUGAGUCGGGGGAGAAGGAAACCGAAGACAGAUCCCAAGGGUUUCCCUUGAGCAACUCUAGCUGGAUGGCUGGGCCACUUAGUUAGAUGAAGUUGGGGGGAGCAGGGAGCAGGUUUGGGAGUCAUUAAGAACUCUUGUUUUUAUAACAGAGUUGAUCAAAAUAGUGGACAACUUUGCCUAUCAGAAUGGAGUUUUAUUUGCCAGAUUAAAAUCCAGAACAUCCCAAAGGGAGCCCGAGCAUUUGUGUGUGUGUGUGUGUGUGUGUGUGUGUGUGUGUGUGUGUGUAUUCUCCAAAUUAUAAAAUCCUAUCACUCAAAAAAUCUUCACCUUGAAUAUAUUCUGAAAUAAAACUUGGUUUCAAAUUAAAAAAAUAAAUAAAUGAAAAAGAAGGCUGGUUUUGGACAUGUUGAAUUUGAGAAUUAAUGGCUUGUAAAACGUAACGUCAUUGUAGGACCCAGAACCCUCCCCGGAGCUAUGGCUUCUUCCCUGCGAUUUUAAGCUCUACGGUGAAGACCAUCUACAGAGCCCAAAGGGUUACAGGUCAUCCUCAAGGUCAUCAAAUGAUGGCUUUGUCCUUGGGCCACUCAUUCGUUCAUCUGUACCACAAGUACACACAUGGGUUCCAGGGAAGAGGUCUGCACUUCCCGCGAUCUUCAUAAGAAUCCAAACUGUAAAAGACUUUGGAUCCAGAAUCUGUCGCCUCACUUUUUAAAGAUGAUCUUUUGUAGCAGAUGGAGGCAAGGGAAAGUACAAAAAGGCCCAACCAUGGCCACCAGCCCCCAGGACAGGGUGCAUCUGAGGGGACUCGCAGCUGCUCCCAGCCUACCCGGGGAUCCCAGCCACAGGGUGGUCCAGAUGGGAAUGUCUUACCUCCCAUCCACCCCAGGAGGGACUGCACUGUUCUCGUGGGGUGGCGGAGGGAACAGGUCGGGGUGGGCAGUUGCCCAGGAGCCUCAAAAAACAUCACCACCAGCUCCCCGUCUCUUCCCCCACCAGCACAGCCUUCUGGAAGGUAGGCUCCGAAAAGUCACUUUCCUCUUUGCAUUUGGUUUUCCAUUCUUUUUCAUUUUCACUGUUGUAUCUCUGCCUUCUCUGUUUAAAAGAAGAAAUAAUAGCCACCCUACAAUCCACUCUUCAGUUACUUUAUUGAGUUUUCAGAUUUUCUGAGUUCUGAAAGACUUUGUUGCAACAUUAUUUCCACUGCUCUCCUUUCCUUGUGUUUCUUUUUCUCCCCACUUCUAACUUUUCUAGCUAGAUGCUCAGUUGUCCAAUUCAUCACCACACUCUCAUCUUUAGUUAAGUACGAAAUGCAUAAAUUUUCCUCUUUGUAUAACACUGGCUCUCUUUCACAGGUAUCUAUACAGUGCUUCCACUGUCAGUAUCCAGUUUGGGCUCUUGUGGGUUUUUUUUUCCCGAUUCAAAGUUUAUUUAGAAGAGUUUUGACAUUUCCAGAGUUGCUUUUUGAUUUUUGUGACUUGUUUCCUAAAUUUACUGAAAUGUGAUUACAGAAAAUGACCAUCAGAAAAUUUUAUUUUUCAAACUAACAUUGAGUUCUUCUUUGUAACUCAAAGGGUGAAUUCUGAUUAAUGGUUUGUGGUCACCCAAUGUCAAACAUUUGCUAAGUGUUUUUAAUUAUUUUUACACAGAUGCUUUAGGCCCAGGGGAGUUCAAAACCCAUGGAACAGAACCAUCCCCUGAAACAGUAGAACUCUGUAUGUGAGUCCUCAGAGACUGCCAAUGAUGGCUCUUUCACUUAUUUGGGCUUUUAUUCCACAAACAUGGGGAGCACUGCGUGCCCACUGCCUGCCAGGCCCCCCAGAGGACCCAGGGACACCAGCGUGAGGCCUGAUGGUUAUGGAUAGACUCGUGCUCACCACACUGUCCUGAGUUCAAAGACCUCCCCGAUAUAGGGGACGGUGGGAGUUUCACCCUGUGAUGGAGAAAGACCAAUGCCUGGGGUCCCUGGAGGUCUAGACACACCAACCUUGAGGUUCCACCCACCGCAGGCUUUUUAGCAAAACCUGGAUGGUCAGAUCAAGAGGAAGACCAGGUGUCUGUCACUUCAACAAAGAUCCACACUCUGAACAAAGAAGCCAAACCCAUCGGAACACAAGUAGAAGAAGCUAAAACACUUUGAAAUUAUUGCAGGCAACUGAAGGAAUACUCGGGACCUGUAUACUGACCUCUAGGACCCGUGGAAGGCUGACCAGUCCCUGCAGGAAUGUCCUUUGAUGGAGGAAGAAGUGGCAGCUUCUGUGAGAGAAGACACACAGGUGAUAAUGUGGGGUCAGGAGGUGGAAACUGGCUGGACCACCAGGCUCCUGAUCUUGGGGCCUGGAGAGAAGGACUGAUAUGAGGAAGGAAGGGAGCAUUUGAGCACCCAAGAUGGAAAGAAAAGUUCAUAUCAGGGCAGAAGGAGAAGACGGAGAUCUGAGAGCAAGCCCCAGUGGACAGUACAGAUCCAGAUUUUUCAGGCGAGUCCCUGAAGUGACUGAACUUUGUCAAGAAGUGGAGCUUCUAGGAAUAUUCUGUCAAAGCAGAUGAUUUGGAGCAAAGGGGGAACUGUCCCAAAGCAAGAGAUGAGCCUGAUGCUGUCCAGUGAGCUGAGAGCUCUCAAAGGUCCUCUGGGAGCUCGGGAGACUGAUAGACGCCUCCUCAUCUCCACAGGGGGUUGCAGAUCAGAGAAGAGUCGUCACUGAAACAGAUUAAAGUCAAGCUCCUGGAAGUGGACCCUCGUGCGUCUGAUAACCCAGUGGAGCAUCUCCCAGAGAACACUGCUCCCGGUCCCUGGGCACAGGUUUAGAAGGCUUGGCUCCUUCCCUCCAAGAAGCCCCUCAUGGGUGCUACCCUUUCCUCCUCAUCCCCUCUUCUGCUCCUCCUUCCCUCCGUUUAUCCCCAAAUCCCGCAUUUCCAUGGAUACAAACAGGGAGUUCAGGACAAGAGUCUGUUCCACCCCCAGGAGCUGCCCAGGCUCUGCAGUUCACCGCAUCCUCCCUCCCUCAGGGCCAGAUUGUCCCUGGACCCCCUCCCUCAAAACAGAGUGAGUUCCCUCCCAGGGUCCCUGACUCUCUCAUGACCACACUCGUCAAAAUGGCAAAAGACCAAGAGGGCCUCAGGGCACUGCGCUUCUCCAGAUAUUUUUGAAUUUUCCGCAUUUAUUUUUAGUUUAGAAAACUUCUAAAUGGCAAUUGUACUUUUACUCAACUUGAUUUGAUAGUAUUAUGAAUUUCAAGACUUUUAAAAAAUAGAGGUCAUUGAAGAUGCAUUGUAUUAUCCAGAUAUCUACAGGGUGGGUGUAAUAUGCUUUAUGUAAUAAUAUGUAAUAUGUAUUAUGCAUUGUAAUAUCUUUUCUAGAAAAUGUAAGCAGUAAAUUUUCAUUUAAUGAUUCACUUGUCUGCUCCCCAAAAGUAUAUAGCAUCUCUAAGCAGUGCAGCAAUAAACGACAUUUGAAAUAGCAAA